rnacentral:rRNA from 1 species
AGCGAACGCUGGCGGCAGGCCUAACACAUGCAAGUCGAGCGCCCCGCAAGGGGAGCGGCAGACGGGAGAGUAACACGUGAGAACGUACCCUUUGGUUCGGAACAACCCAGGGAAACUUGGGCUAAUACCGGAUAAGCCCUUACGGGGAAAGAUUCAUCGCCGAAGGAUCGGCCCACGUCUGAUUAGCUAGUUGGUGGGGUAACGGCCCACCAAGGCGACGAUCAGUAGCUGGUCUGAGAGGAUGAUCAGCCUCACUGGGACUGAGACACGGCCCAGACUCCUACGGGAGGCAGCAGUGGGGAAUAUUGGACAAUGGGCGCAAGCCUGAUCCAGCCAUGCCGCGUGGGUGAUGAAGGCCCUAGGGUUGUAAAGCCCUUUCGGCGGGGAAGAUAAUGACGGUACCCGCAGAAGAAGCCCCGGCUAACUUCGUGCCAGCAGCCGCCGUAA